rnacentral:rRNA from 1 species
GAUGAACGCUAGCGAUAGGCUUAACACAUGCAAGUCGAGGGGCAGCGAUAGUUGUAGCAAUACAAUUAGUCGGCGACCGGCGCACGGGUGAGUAACACGUAUGCAACCUACCCAUAACAGGGGGAUAAGCGGAAGAAAUUCCGUCUAAUACCGCGUAACACAUAGUUGAGGCAUCUCAAGAAUGUAAAAGAUUUAUCGGUUAUGGAUGGGCAUGCGGCGCAUUAGCUAGUUGGCGGGGUAACGGCCCACCAAGGCGACGAUGCGUAGGGGUUCUGAGAGGAAGGUCCCCCACAUUGGUACUGAGACACGGACCAA